rnacentral:rRNA from 1 species
CCCUUAGAUGUUCUGGGCCGCACGCGCGCUACACUGACGAAUGCAACGAGCUUAUAACCUUGGCCGAAAGGUCUGGGUAAUCUCCAAAUUUCGUCGUGAUGGGGAUAGAUUAUUGCAAUUAUUAAUCUUCAACGAGGAAUGCCUAGUAGGCGCAAGUCAUCAGCUUGCGUUGAUUACGUCCCUGCCCUUUGUACACACCGCCCGUCGCUCCUACCGAUUGAAUGGUCCGGUGAAGCGUUCGGACCGUGGCCUUUGGACGGUUCGCCGUCUGUUGGCUGCGGGAAGUUCGUUAAACCUUAUCAUUUAGAGGAAGGAGAAGUCGUAACA